GUGCACGCUGGCGGUAGGCCUAACACCUGCAAGUCGCACGGCAGCACAGUAAGAGCUUGCUCUUACGGGUGGCGAGUGGCGGACGGGUGAGGAAUACAUCGGAAUCUACUUUUUCGUGGGGGAUAACGUAGGGAAACUUACGCUAAUACCGCAUACGACCUACGGGUGAAAGCAGGGGAUCUUCGGACCUUGCGCGAUCGAAUGAGCCGAUGUCGGAUUAGCUAGUUGGCGGGGUAAAGGCCCACCAAGGCGACGAUCCGUAGCUGGUCUGAGAGGAUGAUCAGCCACACUGGAACUGAGACACGGUCCAGACUCCUACGGGAGGCAGCAGUGGGGAAUAUUGGACAAUGGGCGCAAGCCUGAUCCAGCCAUACCACGUGGGUGAAGAAGGCCUUCGGGUUGUAAAGCCCUUUUGUUGGGAAAGAAAAGCAGCAGGUUAAUACCCCGCUGUUCUGACGGUACCCAAAGAAUAAGCACCGGCUAACUUCGUG
rnacentral:rRNA from 1 species